rnacentral:rRNA from 1 species
ACUCAAAUGAAUUGACGGGGACCCGCACAAGCAGUGGAGUAUGUGGUUUAAUUCGAAGCAACGCGAAGAACCUUACCAGGUCUUGACAUCUGGAUGAAACCCUCAGAGAUGAGGGCCCCCUUCGGGGCAUCCAAGACAGGUGGUGCAUGGUUGUCGUCAGCUCGUGUCGUGAGAUGUUGGGUUAAGUCCCGCAACGAGCGCAACCCUUGAUCUUAGUUGCCAGCAUUGAGUUGGGCACUCUAGGAUGACUGCCGGUGACAAACCGGAGGAAGGCGGGGAUGACGUCAAAUCAUCAUGCCCCUUAUGACCUGGGCUACACACGUACUACAAUGGCCGGUACAACGGGGUGCGAAGGAGCGAUCCGGAGCGAAUCCUUAGAAGCCGGUCUCAGUUCGGAUUGCAGGCUGCAACUCGCCUGCAUGAAGUCGGAAUUGCUAGUAAUCGCGGAUCAGCAUGCCGCGGUGAAUACGUUCCCGGGUCUUGUACACACCGCCCGU